UCGGGGAGGGUCGUGUUCGAUGUCAGGUGCGCGCCGCUCUGCGGCUGAGGCGCUGCGUGUUUGCAAUUGAGCCCCUGAGAACCAAGAGCAGAGACAACCCAAAUCUCCCCUUUUUGUUUUAAGUGAAAAUAUGGAAGUUGUAGCAUAAGAUUACAGUAUCUGUGAAAUUAGAACCACCAGCUCCCUGUCAUCUUGUAGCACCCGCGCCCCGCUGCUCCCUGACGCCUGGAUGGCACUUGGCGAACGUUUGCAGAAUAUGGUCGAAUUUAAUGUCCCCACCGAGCCUGUCGUUCAUUCAUUCAGCAUUAUUAUCUGCCGUGUACCAGGAUUGAAUCGUGCUGGAGAUACCAUGCUGAACAAGACUGUCCCUGCCCUCAGGAAGCUCUCAGUUCGGUUACUCGACAACCUUCAGAGACACCCCCAUCCCCCUGCUCCAGUUCUGUUUCUGUUUGCUGCCACAAGGAUUUCGUGACUGCCUAACGUGCUGGAUUACAAGAUCAACACUAGGUGCAUACUUGGUGCGAAAUACGGUGCCCAGGACUCCAAGUGCCGGGUGAAGAACGUAUAAGAUGGUAGCGGUCCAGUUUUCCCAGCACCACUUAUUGAAGAGAUCGUCUUUUCUCCACUGUAUGUUCUUGUCUCCUUUGUCAUAGAUUAAUUGACUCUCAUGACUGGUUGCCUGGCCCCCAUGCCCUCCUCAGUUUGCUGAAAGAAGAGAAUUCAGGUGCUCUGACCACACAUACAAAAAGUUAAUCUUCACAUCAAUCCUAUGAUGCCUUCAUUUUAUACUACAGGUUUAGUGGUUUUCACUUGAUUCCAAGCCUUUUACUCAAGCCAAGGAUGUUAUUAUAGAUGACUUACCAUUCUCGAUCCAGCCAGCCAGCUCCAAGUUGUGGUCCAGAUCAUAUCAUAUACAGAUGUGAGACUACCAUCCAGAAGACCAAGACUCAAAUGAACGUACCGUCAU